AACUUUAGAGCUAUUCAAAUAAGGCACAGCUUAUUUGAAAAAGGACACAACCUAGUAUAUAGGGUAAUUAAUUAAGAAAAACUGUUAAGUGGGCCUAAAAGCAGCCACCUUUCAAAAAGCGUUAAAGCUUUACUUUUAUUCUUUAAAAAUAACUUUAUUAAUAUAUAACCCAUUAUCUGUAUUGAGUAACUCCAUAACAAUAUGGAAGAAAUAAUGCUAGAACGAGUAACAUGAAGUAGAACUUCUUCAAAAUGUAAGCCUAAGCCACCCUAGACACCCUACUGGCAAUUAACGUUUAUGAGUCCACUUUACCAACCAUGCAAGAAAACCUUAAAUAUUUCAACGUUNAACUUACACUAGAACAUUUAUGGAAAGAUUAAAAGAAAAAGAAGGAACUCGGCAAAUAUUAACCCCGCCUGUUUACCAAAAACAUCGCNUNUUGCCUAAAUAUAAGAGGUCCAGCCUGCCCAGUGACAAAAUUUACCGGCCGCGGUACCCUAACCGUGCNAAGGUAGCAUAAUCACUUGUUCUUUAAAUNAGGACUUGUAUCAACGGCAUCACGAGGGUUUAACUGUCUCCUUUUUCGUAUCAGUGAAACUAAUUUCCCCGUGAAGAAGCGGGGAUAAUACUAUAAGACGAGAAGACCCCAUGGAGCUUUAAACCCAACUACACUCCUCUUAACUUUACCCUUAAACUUUAGGACCCUGUAUGUUCUGGUUUUAGGUUGGGGUGAUCGCGGAGCAUAAACUAGCCUCCACAAUGAAUAGACCUCCUCUUUNNNNNNNNNNNNNNNNNNNNNNNNNNNNNNUUCUAACAUAAAAUGAUCCGAUAUUCGAUCAACGAACCAAGUUACCCUGGGGAUAACAGCGCAAUCCACUUCAAGAGCCCCUAUCGACAAGUGGGUUUACGACCUCGAUGUUGGAUCAGGGUAUCCUAGUGGUGCAGCA
rnacentral:rRNA from 1 species